UACAGAGGGGGCAAGCGUUGUUCGGAAUUACUGGGCGUAAAGGGCGCGUAGGCGGCCUGCUAAGUCGAACGUGAAAUCCCUGGGCUCAACCCAGGAACUGCGUCCGAUACUGGUUGGCUUGAAUUCGGGAGAGGGAUGUGGAAUUCCAGGUGUAGCGGUGAAAUGCGUAGAUAUCUGGAGGAACACCGGUGGCGAAGGCGGCAUCCUGGACCGGCAUUGACGCUGAGGCGCGAAAGCCAGGGGAGCAAACGGG
rnacentral:rRNA from 1 species